UACAGAGGGUGCAAGCGUUAUUCGGAAUUACUGGGCGUAAAGCGCAUGUAGGCGGUUCGGUAAGUCUGAUGUGAAAUCCCCCGACUCAAUCGGGGAAGUGCAUCGGAUACUGCCAGACUGGAGGACAGGAGGGGAGAACGGAAUUCCUGGUGUAGAGGUGAAAUUCGUAGAUAUCAGGAGGAACAACGGCGGCGAAGGCGGUUCUCUGGACUGUAUCUGACGCCGAGAUGCGAAAGCGUGGGGAGCAAACAGG
rnacentral:rRNA from 1 species